AGGGCACCACCAGGAGUGGAGCCUGCGGCUUAAUUUGACUCAACACGGGGAAACUCACCCGGCCCGGACACCGUAAGGAUUGACAGAUUGAUAGCUCUUUCAUGAUUCGGUGGGUGGGGGGGCAUGGGCGUUCUUAGUUCGUGGAUCGAUUUGUCUGGGUUAUUCCGAUAACGAGCGAGACUCUAGCCUACUAAAUAGUAACAAGAUUAUCAAUGUCUCACUUGCUUCUUAUAGGGACGGGCGGCGUUUAGCCGCACGAGAUUGAGCAAUAACAGGUCUGUGAUGCCCUUAUAUGUCCGGGGCCGCACGCGCGCUACACUGAAAAGAUCAGCGUGCAUGUGCUUCCUACACCGAAAGGAGCGGGAAACCGAGUGAACCUUUUUCGUGCUUGGGAUUGGGGAUUGUAAUUAUUCUCCAUGAACGAGGAAUUCCCAGUAAGCACAAGUCAUCAGCUUGUGUUGGUUACAUCCCUGCCCUUUGUACACACCGCCCGUCGCUACUACCGAUUGUAUGUUUUAG
rnacentral:rRNA from 1 species